UACGUAGGGUCCGAGCGUUGUCCGGAAUUAUUGGGCGUAAAGGGCUCGUAGGCGGUUUGUCGCGUCGGGAGUGAAAAUCCAGGGCUUAACUCUGGACUGGCUUUCGAUACGGGCAGACUAGAGGUAUGCAGGGGAGAACGGAAUUCCUGGUGUAGCGGUGAAAUGCGCAGAUAUCAGGAGGAACACCGGUGGCGAAGGCGGUUCUCUGGGCAUUACCUGACGCUGAGGAGCGAAAGUGUGGGGAGCGAACAGG
rnacentral:rRNA from 1 species